rfam:Coniochaeta ligniaria NRRL 30616 unplaced genomic scaffold CONLIGscaffold_20, whole genome shotgun sequence.
AGGAUUUUAGUAUAAUAGUAAUACAUAUGACUUUUAAUUAUAAAGAAAUUGGUUCGAAUCCGAUAAAUCUUA